GAUGAACGCUGGCGGCGUGCCUAAUACAUGCAAGUCGAGCGAACAGACGAGGAGCUUGCUCCUUUGACGUUAGCGGCGGACGGGUGAGUAACACGUAGGUAACCUACCUAUAUUACUGGGAUAACUUCGGGAAACCGGAGCUAAUACCGGAUAAUAUUUCGAACCGCAUGGUUCGAUAGUGAAAGAUGGCUUUGCUAUCACUUAUAGAUGGACCUGCGCCGUAUUAGCUAGUUGGUAAGGUAACGGCUUACCAAGGCAACGAUACGUAGCCGACCUGAUAGGGUGAUCUGCCACACUGGAACUGAGACACGGUCCAGACUCCUACGGGAGGCAGCAGUAGGGAAUAUUCCGCAAUGGGCGAUAGCCUGACGGAGCAACGCCGCGUGAGUGAUGAAGGUCUUCGGAUCGUAAAACUCUGUUAUUAGGGAAGAACAAACGUGUAAGUAACUGUGCACGUCUUGACGGUACCUAAUCAGAAAGCCACGGCUAACUACGUG
rnacentral:rRNA from 1 species